rnacentral:tRNA from 1 species
ACUAAAUUAGUUUAAGUAGAAUAUUAGAUUGUGGUUCUAAUGGUAAAGUUUUUUAUUUAGUG